CGGGGUGCACCAGGCGCGAAAACUUUACAAUGCCGGCAACGGCGAUAAGGGAACCUCGAGUGCCAGGUUACAAAUCUGGCUGUCGUGAUGCCUAAAAAGCAUUGCAUAGCAAGGGCCGGGCAAGACCGGUGCCAGCCGCCGCGGUAACACCGGCGGCUCGAGUGGUAACCGUUAUUAUUGGGUCUAAAGGGUCUGUAGCCGGCCGGGUAAGUCUCUUGGGAAAUCUGGCAGCUUAACUGUCAGGCUUUCAGGAGAUACUGCCUGGCUCGAGGCCGGGAGAGGUGAGAGGUACUUCAGGGGUAGGGGUGAAAUCUUGUAAUCCUUGAAGGACCACCAGUGGCGAAGGCGUCUCACCAGAACGGACCUGACGGCAAGGGACGAAAGCUAGGGGCACGAACCGGAUUAGAUACCCGGGUAGUCCUAGCCGUAAACGAUACUCGCUAGGUGUCGGCCACGGUGCGACCGUGGUCGGUGCCGUAGGGAAGCCGUGAAGCGAGCCACCUGGGAAGUACGGCCGCAAGGCUGAAACUUAAAGGAAUUGGCGGGGG
rnacentral:rRNA from 1 species